rfam:Brassica oleracea var. oleracea cultivar TO1000 chromosome C1, whole genome shotgun sequence
CUGUCGAGAUUAGUUUUGAAUUUGAUUGAGGAUCUUUGUGUCGCAUAGUGUUUACAUCAGCUUUAUCUCUGCUUCGGCCUUGGGAUGUUAGUUAAACUAGAACACUACAUUA